ensembl:lincRNA 1700128A07Rik RIKEN cDNA 1700128A07 gene
CUUCUCUGUUAUAUGUGUGGGAGACCGAGUUCAAUUCCAUGAAGGGUCCCUGGUUGGCAGUUCAGUCUCUAGAAUUUCCUUUAAUUUUUGUUCAAAGGCAGUGUCCCUGAUGGCAGGAGAAGCNNNNNNNNNNNAUGGCAACAGGAACCGGAAGCUAAGAGAUCACAUUUCCGUUGUGCACAGGAAGCAGAGAGGGUGAGAAAGAAGUGUCACAAGGCAAUAAAUUCUCUAAGGACAUCUCCCUACUAUGAUUCCUCCCGCAAAGCUCCAUGUAAUAAAAUUACAUCACCUUCCC